rnacentral:tRNA from 1 species
GGCGGUGUAACAGCUAAGCAUUUGGCUGUUAACCGAAAGGUUGGUGGUUCAAAUCCACCCAGCACCU